rnacentral:rRNA from 1 species
CGGUGAAAGAGGAGCUUGCUCCUCUGGAUCAGUGGCGAACGGGUGAGUAACACGUGAGUAACCUGCCCUUGACUCUGGGAUAAGCGUUGGAAACGACGUCUAAUACCGGAUACGAACCGUGGAGGCAUCUCCUGCGGUUGGAAAGAAUUUUGGUCAAGGAUGGACUCGCGGCCUAUCAGGUAGUUGGUGAGGUAACGGCCCACCAAGGCGACGACGGGUAGCCGGCCUGAGAGGGUGACCGGCCACACUGGGACUGAGACACGGCCCAGACUCCUACGGGAGGCAGCAGUGGGGAAUAUUGCACAAUGGGCGAAAGCCUGAUGCAGCAACGCCGCGUGAGGGACGACGGCCUUCGGGUUGUAAACCUCUUUUAGCAGGGAAGAAGCGAAAGUGACGGUACCUGCAGAAAAAGCACCGGCUAACUACGUGCCAGCAGCCGCGGUAAUACGUAGGGUGCAAGCGUUGUCCGGAAUUAUUGGGCGUAGAGAGCUCGUAGGCGGUUUGUCGCGUCUGCUGUGAAAACGCGAGGCUCAACCUCUCGCCUGCAGUGGGAUACGGGCAGACUAGAGUGCGGUAGGGGAAAUUAGAAUUGCUGGGUGUAGGGGGUGGAAGGCGCAGAU